ensembl:snoRNA small nucleolar RNA SNORD65
UUGUGAUGAAACCUAAACUGAAAAUAGCUGGAAUUACCGUCAGAUGGUUCAGUGGUGAUGAUCGGUUUUCUGAGC